CAGUAGCCGCGGUAAUACGAAGGUCCCGAGCGUUGUUCGGAAUCACUGGGCGUAAAGGGAGCGUAGGCGGCGUGGUAAGUCAGAUGUGAAAUCCCGGGGCUCAACCCCGGAACUGCAUCCGAUACUGCCGUGCUAGAGGAUUGGAGAGGUAGCUGGAAUUCCUGGUGUAGCAGUGAAAUGCGUGGAGAUCAAGAGGAACACUCGUGGCGAAAGCGAGCUACUGGACAAUAUCUGACGCUGAGGCUCGAAGGCCAGGGUAGCGAAAGGGAUUAGAUACCCCUGUAGUCCCUGUCUCUUAUAC
rnacentral:rRNA from 1 species